rnacentral:rRNA from 1 species
UAGCAGUUAGGGAAUCUUCGGCAAUGGGGGCAACCCUGACCGAGCAACGCCGCGUGAGUGAAGAAGGUUUUCGGAUCGUAAAGCUCUGUUGUAAGAGAAGAACGUGUGUGAGAGUGGAAAGCUCACACAGUGACGGUAACUUACCAGAAAGGGACGGCUAACUUACGUGCCAGCAGCCGCGGUAAUACGUAGGUCCCGAGCGUUGUCCGGAUUUAUUGGGCGUAAAGCGAGCGCAGGCGGUUUAAUAAGUCUGAAGUUAAAGGCAGUGGCUUAACCAUUGUUCGCUUUGGAAACUGUUAGACUUGAGUGCAGAAGGGGAGAGUGGAAUUCCAUGUGUAGCGGUG